GUGUAACGUUGAAUAUUUACCACAUUUACAUUAUUUAUUGAAAUGGAUUUUUUUUCUUAAUUUGGAUACUCAGAUCGAGAAUAUUCAUACACGAUAGUACUGAAUUAACACUUGGUACUUUGAAGAUGGUUCCUUUGUCUUCAGAUGCGUCCUCGUCCAGUGUCUAUCUGCGAUAUAUUGUCUUCUCAUUCCUGAUCACUCUUGCAUUCAAGUUCGAAUUUCAAUUACUCCAUUCACUUGUCUUAACAAAUCCUACUUGAUCAAAUCUUCAUCUGGUGUCGACUCUCUGAAAUCCUGUCUCAGAUCUAAUAAUUCUAAUAUUUCUCUUUAGUGUUUAAUUCCUUAACUAAUUUUGAUGGGUAUUUUUGCUUUCCAUGUGUACAGUGGAAUCAAUAUUUGAUAAACACAACAGCGGGUACCAUUACUCUUUUUAGCAUUGUAUUGUCAAAGUAACUCGUAUAACUAUAGUAAUAAUUUAUGUCUAUAUUUAAAAAAUUCGAAUCAAUUUGUUGUUAGUUACGGAAGCCUGGCUAUCAUCAAACACGAUUUGUAAUGAUGUAUUACUGACAUAUGCACGUUCGUAUUUUGAACGAGCUUUAUGCUCCUGGACGUAACAUGUUAAAAUAAAUUAUUCAUUCAUUCACAUAUAUUUCUGACCACUGUUACAAUUCCUUCAAAUAUUUCUUUUUGAAUCAGGUUGUACAAAAUCCUACAGGAAAAUUUUUUGUAGACUGAUUUGGAUCGAAUUGAAAU